UUAAGAAUAUCAAGGAUAAAGCCUCAAAAGCACGAACUCUUUCCAGCCUCACCAACAGACCUCGCCUCUUAUUCCUCCAACAUGAAAGAAUAUCAAGGACGAAGCUUCAAAAGCAGCACCCUAGACUCUAGACCAGCUGAAGUAUGCUCAGACUCCAAACUAGCUGAAGUCCGCCAAACCUUCUAUAAGAAGACUUUAAGAGCCAGCAUUUAGGACAAGCCUCAGCAGGAGGUUUCAAUACAAGAUAGAGAGGGAGUGCUCCACUAAAAAUCUCUUCUAUCUUGUAUUCAAAACUAAAACUCCUUCAAAAUUUGGUAUUCCAAAAUCCUCAAAAUCUUGUAGCAAAAUUCUUUCCUUCAAUCCAUCCUCAAAAUCUCUUCCCAAGUUUGUAUCCCAAAAGGCUUCAGCCUCGAAGGAAAAGAAUCAAACUUUCUGAAGCCAUCUUAUACCCAAAGUUCUCUUGUAUCCAAAGCCUCCUCAAAAUCGUGCAAGCUGUCAUUGUGUACCAUUUCCUAGUAAUUAAUUUUGUUAAAUAUGUAAAUCGUAGCUUGGAUGGCUAGCAACUGAUGAAACUUUAAGGUCAAGCAAUAACGACACGGCAGAUUUCAUUGAUAUUUGCCCUUAUGUAUUGCUUGACGCAUACAAUUGGCGCAACCACUCAACAAUCAUAAUUAUUUUCAGCCCUUCUUAUGUUGAAUGCAAGGGUUUAUUAAGCCAUGUGUUGAUGCAUGAGAUGGUUUGUAUUCCAAAGGCAAUGCUUAAUUCUAUUGCUAAAUAUCUAACCUUGUAUUUGUAUUUUAGUUUCCAAGUUAUUAAGGCUUUUUUCUAAUUCAAUUU